rnacentral:rRNA from 1 species
CUAACGUCCGUCGUGAAGAGGGAAACAACCCAGACCGCCAGCUAAGGUCCCAAAGUCAUGGUUAAGUGGGAAACGAUGUGGGAAGGCCCAGACAGCCAGGAUGUUGGCUUAGAAGCAGCCAUCAUUUAAAGAAAGCGUAAUAGCUCACUGGUCGAGUCGGCCUGCGCGGAAGAUGUAACGGGGCUAAACCAUGCACCGAAGCUGCGGCAGCGACACUAUGUGUUGUUGGGUAGGGGAGCGU